rnacentral:lncRNA from 1 species
GAGGAACUCAAACUGCCCUCCCUAAAGUGGGUGGGCCUCAUCCAAUCAGUCGAAGGCCUGAAUAGAACAAAAAGGCCAACCCUCCCCCAAAUAAACGAGCCCUCCUCUCACCUGACUGCCUUCAACCAGGACCUCGCUUCUUUCCUCUGGGUCUCGAGCCUGCUGGCCUUCAGACUAGAAUUACACCAUCAGCUCCCAGGUUCUCAGGCCUUCGAACACGGAUUGGAAAUAAACCGCUGGCUCUGCCGGGCCUGCAGCUCGCCAGCUCUCUCCGCGAUUCCUGGGACUCGUCAGCCUCCACGACUGCCCGAGCCAGUUCCUUAUAACAAAUCAAUCAAUGAGUAAAUUCAAAUCCUGUUAGUUCUCCUUCUCUGGAGAAACUUGACGGACACAGCAGCGUACCGCCAACCUCGCUCGAGAAAGAGAGACGUUAAAACCGCCAGCACCCCAUCUCGGCCCCAGGUCCAAGGCAAUCAGACCCACAGUGAAUUAGGCUGAAAGUUCAGAAAGCCUCGCACUGGAAGAGGACGUGAGAGAAAGAAAGAGAGAGAGACACAUCCUCGCCCUUGGCCUGCUGGUCCAUGCUGCUGCUCGGCUCCAGGAACCCCGCCCUCAGGACAGCUGGAGGGAUCCCGUUCAAGACGUCUGCCUCGCUCCUUGUCCUCGGACUCCCCCACCCCAGUGUGGUGGGGGUGGGGUGGUCAGAGGACCAACGGCUGUACGGCUGGAGCAGCUCUGGGCAGGAGGAAGGUCCCAGCCUGUGGCUGAGAGUCCUGGAGCCCCAGCACCUUCCAGGCAGCGUCCUGCGCUGCUGUGCUGGCAGAAGCCGCGCCCUUUCCACCUGCCCCUGGAACGGAGGCCUUCAGUCUGGGCGCCGGGCCCGCUUUCCCAGGAGUAGAGUUACAGCAGCUGGUGCAGCCAACAGGUGUGGGCUCCCCGUUACAGCUGCUGCUGAGCACAUCUGUACCCAUGGGCAGAGGGCUCCAGCAGCAGGGCCCGCC